UACGUAGGGCGCAAGCGUUGUCCGGAAUUAUUGGGAGUAAAGAGCUCGUAGGCGGCUUGUCGCGUCGAUUGUGAAAGCCCGGGGCUUAACUCCGGGUCUGCAGUCGAUACGGGCAGGCUCGAGUUCGGUAGGGGAGACUGGAAUUCCUGGUGUAGCGGUGAAAUGCGCAGAUAUCAGGAGGAACACCGGUGGCGAAGGCGGGUCUCUGGGCAGUAACUGACGCUGAGGAGCGAAAGCGUGGGGAGCGAACAGG
rnacentral:rRNA from 1 species